GCCGGGUGCGGUGGCGCGCGCCUGUAAUCCAAGUUACCGGGAGGCUGAGGCUGGAGGAUCGUUUGAGCUCAGGAGCUCUGAGCUGCAGCGGACUAUGCCGAUCAGGUGUCCGCGCUAAGUUCGGUAUCGAUAUGGUGCUCCUGGGGGAGCCCGGGACCACCAGGUCGUCUAAGGAGGGGUGCACCGGCCCAGGUCGGAGACGGAGCAGGUCAAAGCCCCCGUGCCGCUCAGUAGUGGGAUCGCGCCUGUGAAUAGACGCUGUAGUGCAGCCUGAGUAAUACAGCGGGACCCAGUCUUU
rnacentral:SRP_RNA from 1 species